rnacentral:rRNA from 1 species
UCGAUUGAGUUUGAUCCUGGCUCAGGACGAACGCUGGCGGCGUGCUUAACACAUGCAAGUCGAACGGUGAUGCCCCUUCGGGGGCGGAUCAGUGGCGAACGGGUGAGUAACACGUGGGCAACCUGCCCCUAGCUCUGGGAUAACCCCGGGAAACCGGGGCUAAUACCGGAUACGACCUCGAUUGGCAUCUUUCGAGGUGGAAAGUUUUUCGGCUAGGGAUGGGCCCGCGGCCUAUCAGCUUGUUGGCGGGGUAACGGCCCACCAAGGCGACGACGGGUAGCCGGCCUGAGAGGGCGACCGGCCACACUGGGACUGAGACACGGCCCAGACUCCUACGGGAGGCAGCAGUGGGGAAUAUUGCGCAAUGGGCGAAAGCCUGACGCAGCGACGCCGCGUGAGGGACGAAGGCCUUCGGGUUGUAAACCUCUUUCAGCAGGGACGAAGCGAGAGUGACGGUACCUGCAGAAGAAGCACCGGCCAACUACGUGCCAGCAGCCGCGGUAAUACGUAGGGUGCAAGCGUUGUCCGGAAUUAUUGGGCGUAAAGAGCUCGUAGGCGGUCUGUCGCGUCGGCUGUGAAAACCCGAGGCUCAACCUCGGGCCUGCAGUCGAUACGGGCAGACUAGAGUUCGGUAGGGGAGACUGGAAUUCCUGGUGUAGCGGUGAAAUGCGCAGAUAUCAGGAGGAACACCGGUGGCGAAGGCGGGUCUCUGGGCCGAAACUGACGCUGAGGAGCGAAAGCGUGGGGAGCGAACAGGAUUA